rnacentral:rRNA from 1 species
GCGGGGGGGGGGGGGCCUAAUACAUGCAAGUCGAACGCUUUGUGGUUCAACUGAUUUGAAGAGCUUGCUCAGAUAUGACGAUGGACAUUGCAAAGAGUGGCGAACGGGUGAGUAACACGUGGGAAACCUACCUCUUAGCAGGGGAUAACAUUUGGAAACAGAUGCUAAUACCGUAUAACAAUGACAACCGCAUGGUUGUUAUUUAAAAGAUGGUUCUGCUAUCACUAAGAGAUGGUCCCGCGGUGCAUUAGCUAGUUGGUAAGGUAAUGGCUUACCAAGGCGAUGAUGCAUAGCCGAGUUGAGAGACUGAUCGGCCACAAUGGGACUGAGACACGGCCCAUACUCCUACGGGAGGCAGCAGUAGGGAAUCUUCCACAAUGGGCGAAAGCCUGAUGGAGCAACGCCGCGUGUGUGAUGAAGGGUUUCGGCUCGUAAAACACUGUUGUAAGAGAAGAAUGACAUUGAGAGUAACUGUUCAAUGUGUGACGGUAUCUUACCAGAAAGGAACGGCUAAAUACGUGCCAGCAGCCGCGGUAAUACGUAUGUUCCAAGCGUUAUCCGGAUUUAUUGGGCGUAAAGCGAGCGCAGACGGUUAUUUAAGUCUGAAGUGAAAGCCCUCAGCUCAACUGAGGAAUUGCUUUGGAAACUGGAUGACUUGAGUGCAGUAGAGGAAAGUGGAACUCCAUGUGUAGCGGUGAAAUGCGUAGAUAUAUGGAAGAACACCAGUGGCGAAGGCGGCUUUCUGGACUGUAACUGACGUUGAGGCUCGAAAGUGUGGGUAGCAAACAGGAUUAGAUACCCUGGUAGUCCACACCGUAAACGAUGAGUGCUAGGUGUUUGAGGGUUUCCGCCCUUAAGUGCCGCAGCUAACGCAUUAAGCACUCCGCCUGGGGAGUACGACCGCAAGGUUGAAACUCAAAGGAAUUGACGGGGACCCGCACAAGCGGUGGAGCAUGUGGUUUAAUUCGAAGCAACGCGAAGAACCUUACCAGGUCUUGACAUCCCUUGACAACUCCAGAGAUGGAGCGUUCCCUUCGGGGACAAGGUGACAGGUGGUGCAUGGUUGUCGUCAGCUCGUGUCGUGAGAUGUUGGGUUAAGUCCCGCAACGAGCGCAACCCUUAUUACUAGUUGCCAGCAUUCAGUUGGGCACUCUAGUGAGACUGCCGGUGACAAACCGGAGGAAGGUGGGGAUGACGUCAAAUCAUCAUGCCCCUUAUGACCUGGGCUACACACGUGCUACAAUGGCGUAUACAACGAGUUGCCAACCCGCGAGGGUGAGCUAAUCUCUUAAAGUACGUCUCAGUUCGGAUUGUAGGCUGCAACUCGCCUACAUGAAGUCGGAAUCGCUAGUAAUCGCGGAUCAGCACGCCGCGGUGAAUACGUUCCCGGGUCUUGUACACACCGCCCGUCACACCAUGAGAGUUUGUAACACCCAAAGCCGGUGGGGUAACCUUCGGGAGCCAGCCGUCUAAGGGGGAUCG